AAUUUUUUUCCUACAUAGUUUGGUUCUCACUUUCAGAGGUUUUCUAUCAGAAUUUGCAGUUGGCUAAUUUCUUUAUGUUGAUGAAAAUCCAUAUGGUUGCUUUUAUGUGUUUGAUUAUGGGGCCUUUCUGCCAAAUCCAAUCCCUUCAUUCCUUACCUCCCCACACCUACUGCCAAAUGGUGGUCAGUUAGUAUAUUUUGCCCAAUAGCCUAAGAUUGUUUUGGAGUAAGAAGAAUGUAAAUUAAUUAAUCCUAUAAACAUGCAUGCUAUAGCAUUGUAUGGUUUGUCCUUCCAGGAAAAAGCUAAAACCUCACCUAUAUUGUUAAUAUAUAUAUAUUUUUUACAUUAUUUAAAUGAGUGAAUUUUUGCUUCCUUUGUUGGUUUUGCAUAAAGAUAUUCAUAUUAGCAUAAUGUAGAUAAAUCUCAUGAGUUAAUUAUUCACUAAAUCAAAUUUAAAAUUAGUUUCCAUUUCUAAGUCAAAGGUUGAGUUGUUCCACAUGUGUUGUGUGGAAUAAUUGAAAAUCAUUAUUAAUUAGUACAUGCUGCUGGUGA
rnacentral:lncRNA from 1 species